GGCCAGUUAGCUCAGUUGGUUAGAGUGUGGCACUGAUAACACCAGGGUCCAAGGUUCAAUCCCUGUACUGGCCA